GCCGGAGUGGUGGAAUUGGCAGACACAGGGGACUUAAAAUCCCCCGGGCAUAGUAUGCCUGUACCGGUUCAAGUCCGGUCUCCGGCA
rnacentral:tRNA from 1 species